rfam:Eubacterium sp. CAG:180 genomic scaffold, scf48
UAGUAUAAUAUUCGCUUGCCGAAGACAGCGGGUGCAAAAUGCGUAAAACCCAAGUGGUUGCCUGCCGAGGAAGAUCAGCUUUUUAAAAGUUUACGGUCUUUUUCGUCUUUGUGCGGAAAAGACCUUUUCUUUAUUCUC